rnacentral:rRNA from 1 species
UACGUAGGUGGCGAGCGUUGUCCGGAUUUACUGGGCGUAAAGGGAGCGUAGGCGGACUUUUAAGUGGGAUGUGAAAUACUCGGGCUCAACUUGAGUGCUGCAUUUCAAACUGGAAGUCUAGAGUGCAGGAGAGGAGAAUGGAAUUCCUAGUGUAGCGGUGAAAUGCGUAGAGAUUAGGAAGAACACCAGUGGCGAAGGCGAUUCUCUGGACUGUAACUGACGCUGAGGCUCGAAAGCGUGGGGAGCAAAUAGG